rnacentral:rRNA from 1 species
AUCCGGAUUCACUGGGGUUAAAGGGUGUGUAGGCGGAUAUUUAAGUCCGAGGUGAAAUCUCUGAGCUCAACUCAGAAACUGCCUUGGAUACUAUUUAUCUUGAAUAUCGUUGAGGUAGGCGGAAUAUGUCAUGUAGCGGUGAAAUGCUUAGAUAUGACAUAGAACACCGAUUGCGAAGGCAGCUUGCUAAACGAUUAUUGACGCUGAGGCACGAAAGCGUGGGGAUCAAACAGG